rnacentral:misc_RNA from 1 species
CUUUUGAAAAUUUUCAUAGCAGUUGGUAUGCAAAUUACUAGGCUAAGUGGAAGCUCAAGGGCUCAUCAACAGGAUCACAUCCUUGGCAUCUCUGCUCCAAUAAAAUGAAUUCCAUAUGAAAAACAAAUGAAUAAUUUGUCAUUGAACGCCAAUUUCACAAAUAGCAUGCUCUAGACAACUUCAUUCUGUCAUCGAAUACAGUUUAAUAUUCCUUGAAGAGUAUAAUACGUAGUUUCAAUCCCUACUUACUUUCCUAAGAUAGGUCUUGACAAACAACUAGCUUGACUGAGGUUGCUCAGUAAUAUGCUUUUCGAGGGUUGUUCAGAGGAUUUGGUCUGUAACGGUAACCAAGCAUCAUUCGCUUCUUAUACUGUUCAUAUAUAUCGUCAUCAGGAGCCACCUCCCCAGGUUGGUGAGCACCAACACCCAAAUUGUCCUUCUUUACAUUACCAGCCAAUAUGGGAUCUGCAAUGCCAUUUCUGGAGCUCCCCAGACCCUCACCUUCUUUCCAACCCAUUUUGGACAGCAAUUUAUGCCCAACAUUAUCAGCCUGGAUUUUUGACCUAUCUGCCGUUUCUCUAGCAGCUCGUUGUGCAGCUACAUCAUUACAGGCAGCCAAGAAUUUCUCAAGCUCUUCUGGUGGAAUGUAGUCACCCAUGUGAUGACCUCUUUUUCCUGGAGGUCCUUGAAGGGAAGGAGGCGGGGGCAUUUCAUCCUUUGACUGUUUAGGCUGCCUCCUCCUCUCUUCUUGAGCAGCCUUCUUCAUGUAGAAUUCCAUCAUUGCUAUGGGAUCAGUACCUUCUGGAGCACUAGAUUCACCUGCAGCUGCAAUAUCCAAAGUAACUGCAAUACACAGCAGUUUAUACUGAUUAAUAUUCCAUAAUAAACAUGUCCCACCCUGAGAUGAAAGCCAACAAGCAAACAAUUCUAUCAUCACUACACAUAAAACAAAUAAGGUGGUGACAUACCAACUCACAAAAACCUCUCAACGAGGUAAAGUAAACCCUUGAGUAAACACAAUGAUGUGACUACAAGUAAGUCAGUAAACCUGAGGCCUCCAUAUUGAACCUCAUUCAUAUGGCAAUAAUAAAUGCAGUAUAAGAUCAAAAGCUCUUUUUUAAACUACAUUCAAAACUAGAAGUUGAUUCAUAAUAUCUAAAGAAGUUUCAGGCUUGGCACAUCCAAGAAGAGAAAUAUCUUUUGAGUAAAAAAUGAGAAACGAACAAUCUUUGGGACCCAUUACACAUAGGAAACACAGAAAAGAAUAGAACGGAAAAUUGGUGCAAGAAACUAAAGUAUCAUAACACUGAAGGGUGAGCAGAAACACUAACAAAAAAGGAUCUGAAUGGACCCGAGACUGAAAGUUUCAUGCACGAUUGCAGCACUGCAAAUUUGUAUUAUUUAACCUCCCAGCAUGUUAGCAUGUAACAUUUCUAUUGGAAAAGUAACAUAAAUUUUUUGUCCAUUGGAAAGAAAUUAAACAUAACUCUCAUGCAAACCCCAUAAACAGAGGAAUAUAUGCUGUUACCAGUUCUUCCUGCUGAUGUUGUUUGUGCUGAAGUCACCGAUACAGGCUCAUCAGUGGCUUCAUAUAGAGCUGAGGCAGGGAUUUGGUAAUUUGGUUGCUGCUGAGGCAGUUUAGAAGCUGAAGAACUUGUAGCACCACUAGGAGGGAUUUCAGAAUCCCUAGCCUGUGAAAGAGCCCUCUCCUCUUCAGCAAGCCGAAACUCAUAGUACUUGUAGUCUGAGCAAGUCUUGUCAAAUAGAAAUUUAAAUGGUGUGUCUCCAGGGUUCUUCUGGCGUGUGAUAUGCUCAAAUUGCCUUCCAUUUUUUGCAACAAAACUUGCUAGUUUGUCUGCAACUUUCUUCACUGUAGGAUCACUCGGGGAAGGUGGUGCUGCACAUCACUUAUAAAACUGAUUAAUACCAAGAGCAUGAACAAGGGAAUUCAAAUUACUCUUGUAGCAGGCGUGCCACAUAUGCCAAAUCUUUCAUUGAACAUCUCUUUCGACCAAUGUUGAUCACUACUUAAGGUAUAAGCAACAUCCAUUUGUUUUGAUUUUUCAGAGGCAUCCAGUUGAUUCAACUUCUGUCUUUUCGCUGAUGUGUCAACUGAAACAUUCCCAGCAUCUGCUUCAUCUUCAUCCUCAUCUUCGCCCAACUUAACAGGAGGAGCCACAAUUUUUGACUUCUGUUUCAAGCUGAAUGCAAGUUUUCCACCUGAAGGAAGCUGAGGGGUCUUGCUUGCACUAUUACCCUUAAAUUGCAUAGUUAUUUUACCAGUAGAAGGUUUAGGAGUUGUUGUCCCAGAAACAAUUGUUUUGGGUUUAGAUUCCUUCUCUACAGCACCUUUAACCUUCUCUUGGUCCUUUCCCUUCUCUGGCUGAAGCUGUUUGAACCUCUCCAUGAAUGAACCAUCAUUAACAAAAAGACUAGAAGGUGCUUUUUUAUCCAUUUCCAACGAGCCAAAUAUGCUCAAGCUGUCUACAGGAGGCCACUGUUUGAUGAAGUGAAAAGAUGAUCUAGACCGGUAAUUCGUGGGUUUUUAAUUAUUGAUCGCGAAUAUAACUGGGCUGGUUAGGGAUUGAAAGAAGAGAAUGCUCUGACCUUAUCAUUUUACCGUCUCCGUGGAGGGUAGGGAUAGAAGAAAGAGAAUGCGUGCGGGCUCAGUAAAGCCAGCGGAGGUUACUUUGAUAUCGUGAAAUUUGCAGUCUUGCCCUUUACGUUUCGGAAAUUUUAUGUUUGCCCCUAGUCCGUAGACCUGGCUACCGGUUUGGGCGGAGCCCCUGGUUCAGGGUUGAGAAAAGGAAUGAACUGGAAUCGGAUUGGAUGUCCCAAGUGAUUACAAUCAGUUCUGGUUC